GACGAACGCUGGCGGCGUGCCUAAUACAUGCAAGUAGAACGCUGAAGGAGGAGCUUGCUUCUCUGGAUGAGUUGCGAACGGGUGAGUAACGCGUAGGUAACCUGCCUGGUAGCGGGGGAUAACUAUUGGAAACGAUAGCUAAUACCGCAUAAGAGUAGAUGUUGCAUGACAUUUGCUUAAAAGGUGCAAUUGCAUCACUACCAGAUGGACCUGCGUUGUAUUAGCUAGUUGGUGGGGUAACGGCUUACCAAGGCGACGAUACAUAGCCGACCUGAGAGGGUGAUCGGCCACACUGGGACUGAGACACGGCCCAGACUCCUACGGGAGGCAGCAGUAGGGAAUCUUCGGCAAUGGACGGAAGUCUGACCGAGCAACGCCGCGUGAGUGAAGGAGGUUUUCGGAUCGUAAAGCUCUGUUGUAAGAGAAGAACGAGUGUGAGAGUGGAAAGUUCACACUGUGACGGUAGCUUACCAGAAAGGGACGGCUAACUACGUG
rnacentral:rRNA from 1 species